UACGUAGGGGGCAAGCGUUUGUCCGGAUUUAUUGGGCGUAAAGAGCGUGUAGGCGGCUUGGUAGGUCCGCUGUGAAAACUCGAGGCUCAACCUCGAGACGCCGGUGGAAACCAUCAGGCUAGAGUCCGGAAGAGGAGAGUGGAAUUCCUGGUGUAGCGGUGAAAUGCGCAGAUAUCAGGAAGAACACCCGUGGCUAAGGCGGCUCUCUAGUACGGUACUGACGCUGAGACGCGAAAGCGUGGGGAGCAAACAGG
rnacentral:rRNA from 1 species